CCUACGGGAGGCAGCAGUGGGGAAUAUUGGACAAUGGGCGCAAGCCUGAUCCAGCAAUGCCGCGUGAGUGAUGAAGGCCUUAGGGUUGUAAAGCUCUUUUACCAGGGAUGAUAAUGACAGUACCUGGAGAAUAAGCUCCGGCUAACUCCGUGCCAGCAGCCGCGGUAAUACGGAGGGAGCUAGCGUUGUUCGGAAUUACUGGGCGUAAAGCGUACGUAGGCGGUUAUUCAAGUCAGAGGUGAAAGCCCGGGGCUCAACCCCGGAACUGCCUUUGAAACUAGGUAGCUAGAAUCUUGGAGAGGUCAGUGGAAUUCCGAGUGUAGAGGUGAAAUUCGCAGAUAUUCGGAAGAACACCAGUGGCGAAGGCGACUGACUGGACAAGUAUUGACGCUGAGGUACGAAAGCGUGGGGAGCAAACAGGAUUAGAUACCCUGGUAGUCCACGCCGUAAACGAUGAUAACUAGCUGUCCGGUCACUUGGUGACUGGGUGGCGCAGCUACGACAUUAAGUUAUCCGUCCGUCGGGUAGGUACGGUCGCGAAGAAUUAAACUAACAAAGAAGUUAGACGGCGUGAGACGUGCCGACGGACGACGACGAGGGAGGUAGG
rnacentral:rRNA from 1 species